CGGUUUUGGCCUUGAAGCACAAGGGUUAUCUCCCCUUGUUUCUUGAUUAAAGUCUGCUUAAGUUUGAAGUUGGAGAGGAAGAGAUACCUGAUAAUACUGGCUGGAUACCAUUGAGGAUAAGAGUGAUAGCUAGCAAUGGACACAACUCUGAGACUGCAUCAGCAACAACUUCUCCACUGGUGAAACCAUAGCUAAGGACAUGGCGCAGUAGUAGAAUGACUAUAGCUAGGAUUUCAGCGAUUGUAAAUGAUAAUAAUGUCACUAUUAUCACUGAGAAUGCUACUGAUCUUGGGUUUCCAGCUCCAAGCUCAUUGCUUACCCUCACACUAUUGUUCAAAAAUAUUCCCAAAAAAAAAAAAUGAUUAAAAUUUUUUAAAAUUGUUAA